GAUGAAGAACGCAGCGAAAUGCGAUAAGUAAUGUGAAUUGCAGAAUUCAGUGAAUCAUCGAAUCUUUGAACGCACCUUGCACCCUUUGGCAUUCCGAAGGGUAUGCUCGUUUGAGUGUCAUUGUACUCUCACUCUCCCGAUGCUUUUGGAUCGGGAGUGGUGGACUUGGGUGUUGCUGCUUUGCUGUGGCUCGCCUCAAAUGGAGUAGUGCAACUCUUGGUUGGACAUAGUACGGCGUGAUAAGUGUCUUCGCCGGCGCCUCAUUAUAGAGGGUGGCCGAUCGGGAGCUCUGUGCUUCAAACCGUCUUCGGACAACAUCUGACAACUUGACCUCAAAUCGAGUAGGACUACCCGCUGAACUUAAGAAUAUCAAUAAGCGGAGGA
rnacentral:misc_RNA from 1 species